GACGAACGCUGGCGGCGUGCCUAAUACAUGCAAGUCGAACGCAGUGGGGACGAGUGAGUAACACGUGGGUAACCUCCCAUCAGAGGGGAUAACACUUGGAAACAGGUGCUAAACCGAUACUGAUGGAUGCACCCGCGUUGCAUUACAUAUGUGGUGAGGUAACGGCUCACCAUGGCCACGAUGCAUAGCCGCCCUGAUAGGGGGAUCGGCCACGCCGGGACUGAUGCACGGCCCAGAUUCCUACGGGAGGCAGCAGUAGGGCCUCUUCGGGGAUGGACGGAGGUCUGACCGAGAAACGCCGCGUGAGUGAAGCAGGUUUUCGGAGCGAAAAACUCUGUUGUUAGAUAAGCGGUAUCUAUCCAGAAAGCCACGGCUAACUACGUGCCAGCAGCCGCGGUAAUAC
rnacentral:rRNA from 1 species